rnacentral:tRNA from 1 species
GUUGGGGCUAUAGCUCAGUUGGUAGAGUGCGUGCCUCACAUGCCAAGGCCCUGGGUUCAAUCCCCAGCACCACAACA